rnacentral:rRNA from 2 species
UUGCAUAUCAAUAAGCGGAGGAAAAGAAACCAACAGGGAUUGCCCCAGUAACGGCGAGUGAAGCGGCAACAGCUCAAAUUUGAAAUCUGGCUUUCGGGCCCGAGUUGUAAUUUGUAGAGGAUGCUUUUGGCGCGGUGCCUUCCGAGUUCCCUGGAACGGGACGCCACAGAGGGUGAGAGCCCCCUACGGUCGGACACCAAGCCUCUGUAAAGCUCCUUCGACGAGUCGAGUAGUUUGGGAAUGCUGCUCUAAAUGGGAGGUAUAUCUCUUCUAAAGCUAAAUAUAGGCCAGAGACCGAUAGCGCACAAGUAGAGUGAUCGAAAGAUGAAAAGCACUUUGAAAAGAGGGUUAAAAAGUACGUGAAAUUGUUGAAAGGGAAGGGCUUGUGACCAGACUUGUGCCGGGUUGAUCAUCCGCGGUUCUCCCGCGGUGCACUCUCCCCGGUCCAGGCCAGCGUCGGUUCUGGGAGGGGGACAAAAGCUUGGGGAACGUGGCUCCUCCGGGAGUGUUAUAGCCCCUCGCCCAAUGCCCCUGCCGGGACCGAGGUUCGCGCUCUGCAAGGACGCUG